UACGUAGGGGGCUAGCGUUGUCCGGAAUCAUUGGGCGUAAAGCGCGUGUAGGCGGUCCGGUAAGUCCGCUGUGAAAGUCGAGGGCUCAACCCUCGAAUGCCGGUGGAUACUGUCGGGCUUGAGUACGGGAGAGGCGAGUGGAAUUCCUGGUGUAGCGGUGGAAUGCGCAGAUAUCAGGAGGAACACCAAUAGCGAAGGCAGCUCGCUGGGACGGUACUGACGCUAAGGCGCGAAAGCGUGGGGAGCGAACAGG
rnacentral:rRNA from 1 species